rnacentral:rRNA from 1 species
UACGGAGGGAGCGAGCGUUACCCGGAUUUACUGGGCGUAAAGGGCGGGUAGGCGGUCACUCAAGUCCGCUGCUAAAGACCGCGGCUCAACCUGGGGAGUGCGUUGGAUACUGUGCGGCUAGAGGGUCGGAGAGGGCAGUGGAAUUCUCUGGGUAGCGGUGAAAUGCGCAGAUAUCGAGAGGAACGCCAAUAGCGAAGGCAGCUGCCUGGACGAAUUGUGACGCUGAGGCGCGAAAGCGUGGGGAGCAAACCGG